CUGCCCAAUGAUUAUAGAAAGACGCGUUAUUAUGAGGACUCAUGCUGGAACUCUGCUUUCUAACCUUUCUUUCUUCCUCUCCUCCCCACCCUCUACUCCACUUCCCUUCAUUCUUCUCUCCUCCCCUUGGGUGUCCAGCGUCCUAUGAGCAAGAUUGAGAUAUGAGGGCAA